AGUGCGAUGUGGGGACGAAGGUGCGUAACUGCUGCGAUCAGACGGAAUUGGUCGUUGAAGGAGGGUAGGUUAUGAGAUGGGUAGAGAAGUUCGCCCGUUGAGCCGAGCUCUGAUAGUACCCUAAUGUUUUAGGCAGAAGGGAUAAUGCAGCCAAGCGAACUUCCAAGAAAAGCCACUAAGCUUCAGCUAUACGGAGCCCGUACCGGAAACCGACACAGGUGUCCGAGGAGAAUAUCCUAAGGUGCUCGAGUGAUUCACGGCUAAGGAACUCGGCAAAUUGAUCUCGUAACUUCGGGAGAAGAGAUACCUACCCAGAGAUGGGAGGUCGCAGAGAAUAGGUCCAGGCAACUGUUUAACAAAAACACAGGGCACUGCUAAAUCGUGAGAUUAGGUAUAGUGCCUGACACCUGCCCGGUGCUGGAAGGUUAAGGGAGGGGGUCAGCCGCAAGGUGAAGCUCUUGACUGAAGCCCCAGUAAACGGCGGCCGUAACGAUAACGGUCCUAAGGUAGCGAAAUUCCUUGUCGGGUAAGUUCCGACCUGCACGAAUGGUGUAAUGAUCUGGACACUGUCUCGGCCGUGAGCUCGGUGAAAUUGUAGUAUCGGUGAAGAUGCCGAUUACCCGCAACGGGACGGAAAGACCCCGUGAACCUUCACUACAACUUAACACUGUAUCUGGGUAAAUGGUGUGUAGGAUAGGUGGGAGGCUAUGAAGCUGUCACGCUAGUGAUGGUGGAGCCGACGUUGAAAUACCACCCUUUAUUUACUUAGAUACUAACUGUCGCAAUGACUAGGACCCUGUUUGGUGGGUAGUUUGACUGGGGUGGUCGCCUCCUAAAGAGUAACGGAGGCUUCCAAAGGUACCCUCAGCAUGGACGGUAAUCAUGCGAAGAGCGUAUUAGUAUAAGGGUGCUUGACUGCGAGACCGACAAGUCGAGCAGGUAGGAAACUAGGGUAAAGUGAUCCGGUGGUUCUGUAUGGAAGGGCCAUCGCUCAAAGGAUAAAAGGUACUCCGGAUAACAGGCUGAUCUCCCCCAAGAGCUCAUAUCGACGGGGAGGUUUGGCACCUCGAUGUCGGCUCGUCACAUCCUGGGGCUGGAGAAGGUCCCAAGGGUUGGGCUGUUCGCCCAUUAAAGUGGCACGCGAGCUGGGUUCAGAACGUCGCAAGACAGUUCGGUCCCCAUCUGUUGUGGGCGCAAGAGACUUGAGAGGUAUUAACAUUAGUACGAGAGGACCGUGUUAGACGAACCUCUGGUGUACCGGUUGUGGCGCCAGCUGCACCGCCGGGUAGCUAUGUUCGGCAUGGAUAAGCACUGAAAGCAUCUAAGUGCGAAGCCACCCUCAAGAUGAGGUCUCUGAUGAAGGGUCGUUGGAGAUUACGACGUUGAUAGGUUGCAG
rnacentral:rRNA from 1 species